GAUAAGAUUUGUUCUAAUGCUUUUCUCUUUGGCAGCUUUAUUUCAAGUCGAAGGAUGUUUACAACGAACAUUGGCAAAACGCUUGGAUCAUCCCGGCCUUCUGGCAACUUCUCUCCUUUUCUCUCCUAAUUGUUAUCUGUUCUCUCUGGGCUCCAUCUCAAAAUUCGACCAGGUACGCCUUCUCUGGAUCUUCUGGAGAUACAAGCGCGGAGUUUGAGAAGGACGAUUACACGCUAACCCUCAUUAAACCAUCUCCCAUUCCUUCUCACGAAGUCAAGAACCUCGCAGAAACCAGACCUUUAGAAGCUGACGAAGGAGAAGCAGAAAAAGAUUUGGAGGAAGAUAAGAGGGAUUAAAAUAGUAAAGACAAUAGCCACAACCAUCUAUUUGACACUUCUUUCUCUUUAUCAAACACCUCAAUUUUACUACAUGUAUUCUUUUAGGUGACUUGAGUUUAGUUUGUACAAUACAAAGGGCAAGAGACCAAAUCAGCCUUAGUCUUCGGUGUUGUAGUGUUAGUUUGUGUGCCCUGUUUUUGUCACAAUGUAAUGUUUCCUAUGUUGCUUUAUACAUUAAAGUUAGUCUAUGACAAGGGUGGAGAUAUCUCUUUCUUA